GCAACGAGCGCAACCCUUGUCUUUAGUUACCAUCAUUAAGUUGGGGACUCUAGAGAGACUGCCGGUGAUAAACCGGAGGAAGUGGGGAUGACGUCAAAUCAUCAUGCCCCUUAUGGCCUGGGCUACACACGUACUACAAUGGCGCAUACAACGAGCUGCAAGAUGGUGACAUCAAGCGAAUCUCUUAAAAUGCGUCUCAGUUCGGAUUGGAGUCUGCAACUCGACUCCAUGAAGUCGGAAUCGCUAGUAAUCGCGGAUCAGCAUGCCGCGGUGAAUACGUUCUCGGGGUUU
rnacentral:rRNA from 1 species